UACGUAGGGUGCAAGCGUUGUCCGGAAUUAUUGGGCGUAAAGAGCUCGUAGGCGGUCUGUCGCGUCUGCUGUGAAAGCUCGGGGCUUAACCCCGGGCCUGCAGUGGGUACGGGCAGACUAGAGUGCGGUAGGGGAGACUGGAAUUCCUGGUGUAGCGGUGAAAUGCGCAGAUAUCAGGAGGAACACCGGUGGCGAAGGCGGGUCUCUGGGCCACUACUGACGCUGAGAAGCGAAAGCAUGGGGAGCGAACAGG
rnacentral:rRNA from 1 species